rnacentral:rRNA from 1 species
UACGAAGGGGGCUAGCGUUACUCGGAUUGACUGGGCGUAAAGGGCGCGUAGGCGGUUCGUACAGUCAGACGUGAAAUUCCUGGGCUCAACCUGGGGGCUGCGUUUGAUACGUGCGGGCUUGAGUUCGGAAGAGGAGAGUGGAAUUCCUGGUGUAGCGGUGAAAUGCGCAGAUAUCAGGAAGAACACCCGUGGCGAAGGCGGCUCUCUGGGACGGUACUGACGCUGAGACGCGAAAGCGUGGGGAGCGAACAGG